GAAAUGCGAUAAGUAAUGUGAAUUGCAGAAUUCAGUGAAUCAUCGAAUCUUUGAACGCACAUUGCGCCCGCCAGCACUCUGGCGGGCAUGCCUGUUCGAGCGUCAUUUCAACCCUCAGAACCCCUUGCGGGAUCUGGCGUUGGGGAUUGGCAUCCAGCCAGCCCCGAAAUCUAGUGGCGGUCCCUCCGCGACCUCCCCUGUGCAGUAGCACACGCUCGCACCGGAGCGCGGCGCGGCCACGCCGUAAAAUCAGCGCGCCACCCCCGGCGCACGACCCCACGAGUUUGACCUCGGAUCAGGUAGGAAUACCCGCUGAACUUAAGC
rnacentral:misc_RNA from 1 species